rnacentral:tRNA from 1 species
GUCUAGCUCGUGUGGUUAGCCAUGCUUGUCUCACCCAGUAGACCAGGGUUCGAAUCCCUGGCUACACA